CAGACUCCUACGGGAGGCAGCAGUGAGGAAUAUUGGUCAAUGGCCGAGAGGCUGAACCAGCCAAGUCGCGUGAGGGAAGAAUGUCCUAAGGAUUGUAAACCUCUUUUGUCGGGGAGCAAAAAGGCUCUGCGGAGUCGUAUUGAGAGUACCCGAAGAAAAAGCAUCGGCUAACUCCGUGCCAGCAGCCGCGGUAAUACGUAGGGUGCGAGCGUUAAUCGGAAUUACUGGGCGUAAAGGGUGUGCAGGCGGCUGAGUAAGACAGAUGUGAAAUCCCCGGGCUUAACCUGGGAACCGCAUAUGUGACUGCUUGGCUAGAGUGCGUCAGAGGGAGGUGGAAUUCCACGUGUAGCAGUGAAAUGCGUAGAUAUGUGGAAGAACACCGAUGGCGAAGGCAGCCUCCUGGGACGCAACUGACGCUCAUACACGAAAGCGUGGGGAGCAAACAGGAUUAGAUACCCUCGUAC
rnacentral:rRNA from 1 species